CGGAAACUUAAUCCAAAUUUGUCGGACAUCUCAUUCUGUGCUGGAAACACUGGGAGGCAGGAAGUUUGAAAAAACGGCCACUGCCGCCCGCAAUGUCUCGGUCGUGGGCUGGUCGUGGGUUCGUUAUGCCAGUUGUGCGUCAUUCUAAGCCGUUCUGUACAUUUAUACUGGAUAUUAAUUGGAGUCAUUUAGCUGUGCUGAUGCUGUUUGCCGUGUGUUUUGCAUCAGUGCUUCGUGACAUCGGCUGUAUUGCGUGUUUUCGCCGACGGCUUACUACCACAAUGGCGGGAUCUGCGUUCGCCGCCUUCGUGUCUCGGUGCGUCUUUGUACGUCGCACGUUCGGAUAACACUUUUUGCGACUGCUGGACAUCCUUCUUGUACCUUGGCGCUAGCUGGAUGACGGGACCUCAUCAUGAUCAGUGUAUUGCUUGCCUAUGUCUACAAGAACCGUCACGCGUGGCCUGUGACAGCAAGCUUUUGUGGGCAGCAAGUGCUCUCCUACGAAGGCUGGCCUACUCUGGCAGCGGCGGCAAUCAUCUUCAAGAUUUAUCCAUAAUCACCUUUGCUGCUUUUUGUCACUCUUGUUGAUUACACUUUCUGCGUCUUUUCUAAUUUAUUAGGUAAUAAAGUAUGAGUAAGUGACAUGGUGUGAAGUUGACGUC